rnacentral:rRNA from 1 species
AUGGCCAACAUGGUUAGUUCAUGUUUUCAAAACCUCUCCACUUGUGAUGACUCACUUGUAAAACACCAUCUCUUGGACUUGUAUGAUGAGAGAGUUAGUUCGGAGAUGAAUGACCAUCUAUGUGCUGAAUUCUGUGAGAAAGAAAUAUUUGAUAGUUUAUUCCAGAUGGGACCCCUGAAGGCGCUGGUUAAGGAUGGCUUCCCAGCGAGGUUUUUUCAGAAAAAAUGACUAGUUAUGAAGGGCGAAAUUAUCACGGUUGUUCAAGAAUUUUUUCAGACAAGGGUUAUGCCAGAUGGUGUGAAUGAAACAAUAAUCGUCCUUAUUCCUAAGGUUGAUGAUCCUGUUCGAAUGACUGACUUUUGGCCAAUAAGUCUAUGUAAUGUCAUUUACAAAAUUGUUGCUAAGUUCUUGGUGAACAGACUCAGGCCACUUCUUGAUGAGAUUACAUCACCAUCUCAAAGUGCAUUUGUGCCAGGUAGACUGAUCACAGAUAAUGCACCACUUGCCUUCGAAUGCCUGCAUUUUAUUCAACAUGAGAAAAAUCCAGAAAAUAGCUACUUUGCAUACAAGCUAGACCUAUCAAAGGCCUAUGACAGGGUCGAUUGGGGGUUCUUGUAGCAAUCGAUGGAGAGGAUGGAUUCCUCUUACCAAAGGGUGCAAUGGAUUAUGGCAUGUGUCACCACGGUGAGCUAUUCUGUUAAACUUAAUGGAGCCCUUCUGGAUUCGUUUGCACCAACGUGAGGGCGUCGGCAAUGUGACCCCUUAUCCCCCUUUUUGUUCCUCUUUGUGGCCGAUGAAUUAUCUGCUCUAUUGAGACAUGGAGUGCAAGAUCAUGCCUUCCAACCAGUGAAAAUUUGUAGCAGGGUGCCGGGAAUAUCGCAUCUCAUGUUUGCAUAUGACACACUAUUAUUCUUUAAAGCUAGCGUUGAACAAGCUCAGGAUGUAAAGGGUGUCCUUCAGAUUUAUGUGAGAGCCACGGGCCUGCUCAUAAAUCCGCAAAAGUGCUCUAUUAAGUUUGGUGACAACUGCCCUUUGGUGAUACAAACAACAGUUAGACAGAUACUGCAGGUACACAAUGGUGAGUUUGAAGGGAAAUACCUUAGUUUACCUUCGAAUGGGUGCAUGCAUAAAGGUAGAUUCCAAAUGUUGCAGGCAAGCUGAACUAAGGAAAUUAUGGCUUGGGGGGAUACAGUCUCACAAGCAAAGAAGGAAACACUAAUCAAAUUUCUCCUCCAAGCUAUCCCCACUUACAUAAUGGGUGUGUUCAAACUACCUUAUUCUAUAUGCAAUGAUCUCACUCGUUCGGUCUGAAACUUUUGGUGGGGGUCCAAAGAAGGCAAGAGGAAGACAUAUUGGUGGGCAUGGGAAAAAUUGAUUGAACCAAAAGGAAAGGGGGGCCUUGGUUUCAGGGACUUCUGCAUCUUCAACCAAGCAUUGCUAGCUCGGCAAGCUUGGCGCCUUAUAACAAGGCCGGACUCGUUUUGCUCCCAAGUUCUCAAAGCCAAAUAUUACCCUAAUGGAUCCCUUGAGGACACUGUUUUUUCAAGUAACAUGUCACCGACUUGGCAUGCUAUCCAGCAUGGUCUCGAGCUGCUCAAACGCGGGCUCCUAUGGUGUGUGGGAAAUGGAGAGCAAAUUCUCAUCUGGCGUGACCCAUAG